rnacentral:rRNA from 1 species
CGAACGCUGGCGGCGUGCUUAACACAUGCAAGUCGAACGAAGAGCGAUGGAAGCUUGCUUCUAUCAAUCUUAGUGGCGAACGGGUGAGUAACGCGUAAUCAACCUGCCCUUCAGAGGGGGACAACAGUUGGAAACGACUGCUAAUACCGCAUACGAUCUAACCUCGGCAUCGAGGAUAGAUGAAAGGUGGCCUCUAUUUAUAAGCUAUCACUGAAGGAGGGGAUUGCGUCUGAUUAGCUAGUUGGAGGGGUAACGGCCCACCAAGGCGAUGAUCAGUAGCCGGUCUGAGAGGAUGAACGGCCACAUUGGGACUGAGACACGGCCCAGACUCCUACGGGAGGCAGCAGUGGGGAAUCUUCCGCAAUGGACGAAAGUCUGACGGAGCAACGCCGCGUGAGUGAUGACGGCCUUCGGAUUGUAAAGCUCUGUUAAUCGGGACGAAAGGCCUUCUUGCGAAUAGUUAGAAGGAUUGACGGUACCGGAAUAGAAAGCCACGGCUAACUACGUGCCAGCAGCCGCGGUAAUA